rnacentral:rRNA from 1 species
UACGUAGGUGGCAAGCGUUGUCCGGAUUAUUGGGCGUAAAGCGAGCGCAGGCGGUUUCUUAAGUCUGAUGUGAAAGCCCCCGGCUCAACCGGGGAGGGUCAUUGGAAACCGGGAGACUUGAGUGCAGAAGAGGAGAGUGGAAUUCCAUGUGUAGCGGUGAAAUGCGUAGAUAUAUGGAGGAACACCAGUGGCGAAGGCGGCUCUCUGGUCUGUAACUGACGCUGAGGCUCGAAAGCGUGGGGAGCGAACAGG